rnacentral:rRNA from 1 species
AGGGCAAGUCUGGUGCCAGCAGCCGCGGUAAUUCCAGCUCCAAUAGCGUAUAUUAAAGUUGUUGCAGUUAAAAAGCUCGUAGUUGAAUUUCGGGAUCAAUCUAUCGGUCGUGCAAUAGUACGUACUGAUUUUAUUGAUUCCUCCCUUCUGAUGAACUAUGAUGUCAUUAAUUUGGUGUCAUAGGGAAUCAGGACUGUUACUUUGAAAAAAUUAGAGUGUUUAAAGCAGGCUCACGCUUGAAUACAUUAGCAUGGAAUAACGAAAUAGGACGUUUGAUUCUAUUUUGUUGGUUUCUAGGAUUGACGUAAUGAUUAAUAGGGAUAGUUGGGGGCAUUAGUAUUCAAUUGUCAGAGGUGAAAUUCUUGGAUUUAUUGAAGACUAACUACUGCGAAAGCAUUUGCCAAGGAUGUUUUCAUUAAUCAAGAACGAAAGUUAGGGGAUCGAAGACGAUCAGAUACCGUCGUAGUCUUAACCAUAAACUAUGCCGACUAGGGAUCGGAUGAUGUUAAUUUUUUAAUGACUCAUUCGGCGCCUUACGGGAA